rnacentral:rRNA from 1 species
GAUGAACGCUGACAGAAUGCUUAACACAUGCAAGUCUUUGGUGAAGCUGUGCUUGCACAGCCUAGCCAAGGCGGACGGGUGAGUAACGCGUAAGGAACUUGCCCUGCAGUCAGGGAUAACAGACGGAAACGACUGAUAAGACCUGGUAAAGUCAGGCGGACUCAUGUCCAGCCUGAUGAAAAGAGAUGCUGCAGGAGAGCCUUGCGUCCUAUUAGCUUGUUGGUGGGGUAACGGCCCACCAAGGCAAUGAUAGGUAGCCGGCCUGAGAGGGUGGACGGCCACAAGGGGACUGAGAUACGGCCCUUACUCCUACGGGAGGCAGCAGUGGGGAAUAUUGGACAAUGGGGGCAACCCUGAUCCAGCAAUUCUGUGUGCACGAAGAAGGUUUUCGGAUUGUAAAGUGCUUUCAGCAGGGAAGAAAAAAAUGACGGUACCUGCAGAAGAAGCGACGGCUAAAUACGUG